GUUUGUGGGGGGCUGUGGGGACUUCGUCUCAGUUUGGAUGCAAGUGUGAGGGACGUGGAUGCUGCCUGUGUUUGGUGAGGUGGGGACAGUCCUGGGGGCCUGGGGCCCCCUCUCAAUACACGUUUGCUCCAACUCAGGGUCCUUCCAGAGGUAAAUUGAUUGGAAGACACACAGCUGGGGUCCAAAGGGAACUGAAGGAUGCCUUGGUGUGGAAAUGCCCCACGCUGGGUGUCAGAAGUGCUGUGAGCAGGGAAAUGUUUCUGCUUUUCUAUCAAACACUUCCUCCUGGCAGAAGUCUUAGACCUCACCUUUUCCCCUGUUAGCCGUUUUUUUCUCUGUAACCACUGAAUUCUUGAAAACACCAGGUAGAUCAUUCCCAAACCUGCUUCAAACUCUCGGUGGUUUCCAUGGCUGUUAGGAAAGGACAAAUGGCCUCGGCUGUCCUGCUGACCCAGGCGGGGUGGCUGGUGCGGGGCAGGAAGGAUUUGUAACACGCUUUCAGGCUGGUGGCAACCACCUCCCCUGGUACAUCUCAGGUUAUAAUCUGUGUGCUAUGCCUUCAUGACGUUGACAAUAUUUCAUGACUUGUGUGUGACACAGGGAAGGGAUGACAACACUGGGGACUAGUGCGUGUGCCCAACCGUCAAAGAGCAGACACUUUGCUUUUGCAAGGCUGAGGCUCACAUCUCUGGAAAUAAAGUUCCCUGUUUUUUGGUUUCUCCCGACAGGUGUGUGUCUGCAAUGUAAGAUUGCAUGUGUUGAGUCUCGAAGUAACAGUAACACCUGUGAUUUGUAGUCUUUGCUCUGAAACUUGGUUUUCUGGGGUGGUAUUAAUAAAUGACCACAAAAAUCGUAUGGGUUAAAACCACAGUACCCAUCCUCCCCCAACAUGGAGAGCCGAGGUCUAAGGCCAAGGGGUCUCAGGACUGUGUUCCCCCCAGAAGCUCCAGGGAGGGACCUUCCUGCCCCUUCCAGGUCUGGGUGCUCCUGGUGGCCCUGGGCUGGUGGCCACCUCCCUACCAUUUCUGGCUCCAUCUUCUUGUGGCUUCGGCUCUGUGUCAUCUCUUUUGUGGUAAACAUAUUAUUCGAUUGAGAGCAAUUCAUCAUUGAGAAUCUGGUCCCUUGCACAGAGCUCGAGAAAACUUAGCAAUGUUUUGAUCCUUUUGAGGAGAGCAACUCUUGUUUUUCGUAAGAAACCCAAGCACACCUGUGUUCAUGCUCAUGCCACUUAUGCUAAUGAGGUGGGGCUGGUUGCCAGAGGAACCAACAAGGUGAUUAAAAGGUUGGCUUUUUAAGCCCCACCCCAAACCUCGGGAGUUGCUGAGGGGCCAACGCUUGAACCAGUCCUACUUGGCAGAAGCUCCCUCAAAAGGGGUUCAUAGAGCUUCCAGAGUGGGGAGCCCACAGUUGUGAGGGUGCUGCACCCCAAACUCAAUGAAGACAAGCUCCUGCACGUGGGGACUCCCCCAACCUUGUCCUUGCCCUCCUCUUCUGGGUGUUGACCUCUUUAUGAACAACAGAUUCAAAGUGAAAGAGGCAAAACGUUCUUCGCCUUGUGAUAAGAACUCUCAGGACUGGCUCUCAACACCCUUGGCGCAUAAGGAGGACAAUUCUGGGCACGAGUGGGAAGCCCCCAGAGGGACGGGUGACCCCACAGGGAAACCCCUGACCACACUCCAUUGAUGACACAAGGAGGUAUGUAACCUCUACCCCUGUUUUCUGGGUGCUCAGCUCCCCAAAGCCUUGGACUCUGAAAGGAUAAGGUCUUGUGUAGGCUGACCUGGGGGCUCAUGAACCUACAGGUUUGUCAGAGCAGGGUGUGUGUGUUUCCAUAUAGGCUGAGGUGUUUGUCUUCUCUUUCUGAUGGACUUGACUUCCAUUGGGAAUCUCUAGGUUCAUGCACGUGGCUGUGAAUGCGAUGGUUUCAUUCUUUUUUGUGGUUGAGUAAUAUUCCAUUUUGGUUACGCCCCACUGCUUCUUUCUCAUUCUCUUCCAUCAAGGUUUAUCUGAAGAGACAGAAUAGAAUUCCCUGUGCUGUUCGGCUGAACCUCAUU